GUUCUUCUUAAAAUUUUGAAAUAGCAAGUGUGAAAAGUAACUUUAGAUAUGUAGUUUUAUCCACACAUGAGAAAAAAAAAAUACUUCCUCCAGGCUCAUUCUUUAGUAUAUACACAGAGAAGCUAAGAAGACCUGAGGAAACUGUAGACACUAGCUUUGGUUUUUGUUCUUUUGGUUUUGUUUUGUUUGUUUGUUAUGAUUGCUUGUUUGUUAAAGUUUAGUUAAUAUUUUAUGUAUGUUUGGUAGACAAAAAAUUAGCCAUAAAAUCUUGUCUAGACUAUACAAAGGCAAAAUAGCCAAGUAAGACAUUUUAACAAGGUCAGUUUCCAUUAACUGAUAUAGAAUUCCUUAAGUGGGAUAUUUACGCCACUUGUAAUGAUAUCAGAUGAGAUAAUUUAAGAUGCAAAUGUCUAGCUCUUCUUCCAGGGGUAUCCAUCCUAGGAUGCCUGGGGCUACAACUAUGUACUGUAUUCUUUAGAAGCCAGUCUCUCUAGUGAGUAAUAGAAUUUGAGAAUGCAUCUGGAAAUGCACUGUGUACCUCCUGUGUUCUUCCAGUUGGACAAUAUUUGUAUUUUAAGGGUAAAAUUUAGUGUGUGGCUUCCUGCCAACCUGCCUUGGGGAACUGCAAGUUUCUGUAGUUACUCCUCAGAGCUUUGCCUAAGAGGAGCAAAUCUGUCCUACCUGUAAUCAAAGGAGCUGGCAACCAAGGACAGCAAUCAGCACUCUGUUGUUUGUCUGUUUAUCCACUAAAGGUAAUGAACAUUUUAGCUUACUAUCCAUGCACAUGUGUUAUUAUUAAACAGGAAAACAAGAAGUGAGUGCCAAGGAGUUAGGUCAAAGGAUGAGUGGUAAGCAACUGGAGAGCAGAGUGGAGACAGGGAGGUGAGAACAGCAGCCUCACUCUCAGGGAGACUGAGCAGCCUGGGCAGGCUGAAUCUCACACAGUGCAUCUGCAGUUGUUCUCAGCAGCCACCGGAAGGACCAUAGCCUGUGCCCCCUCUGAGUUACUGUUGCAGGGAGAGUGGGAAACACAUCUUCUCUCCAUUAAGUUUAUGUCUAGACACUUGAAAAUGUCACUGAAUGUACAAUACUUUUAAAAAGUAAAACUCACUGCAAGACAGGCACACAGACUGACUAUGUUGUUUGUUUCUUAGAAGCCUGAUCGUAACAUAUGCCUGAAGUUUGGAAUUUCUCAAAAUAUUUACACUUAUUAAUAAAUUAACUCUUUCUCUUUCUCUCUCUCUCUCUCUCUCUCUCUCUCUCUCUCUCUCUCUCUCUCUCUCUCUCUCUCUGUGUGUGUGUGUGUGUAUGCAUGUUUCCUACUGAGCCAUUUUGUUGUCCCCCUCCCAACUCUUUUUUUAAAGAUUUUAUUUAUACAUAAGUACACUGUAGUUAUCUUCAGACACACCAGAAGAGGGUGUCAGGUCUCAUUACGGAUAGUUGUGAGCCACCAUGUGGUUGCUGGGAUUCGAACUCAGGACCUUUGGUAGAGCAGUCAGUGCUCUUCUUCCCCGCUGAGCCAUCUCGCCAGCCCCCCUCCCAACUCUUAUGACUCUUUGUUCUAUAUUUAGGUGUUGAAAAAAUAAUUCAAACUUUAGAUUAUUGAAAAAUGUUAAAUUAUUAUAUAACAAGAGCUUACAACAAUGUUUAGCAAAAAUAUUGUUAUUGCUGCUAUUUGAACCCAAAGACAAAAUUAAGGCACUUUAUAAAAUGUCAUCAGAGAGUAAAUCUUUACAAAUGUCAUUGUGUAUGUUCUAAGUGCUUGCCUCUGGCUAAACAGUGUGCUAAGUAUCUCACUUAUUCUCAAGUUUUCAUUUCACAUUCUUUUAGGCAGUCAAUUAUCCCUAUUUUCAUAAAUGAAGAAACAGUAUUUGGAAAGGUCAGAAACUGACACGUGGACAUGGGUUUAGGGGGUCACUGACUGAGUGUGAUGGCUCUACUUCAGGAUUGGUGUCUCAACCAGGAAACUUUCUCAACACAUUUUAUUGCUUCACAGGAUUAUUUUGUUUCUGUGUUUGUGUGUGUGUUUGUUUGUUUGUUUGCUUGCUUGAAAACCAGAUCUCACACUGUAGCUCAGGUAACAAGGUCUUUCUCUUAGCUGAGGCUAACCUUGAGAAACGGUCAUCUUCCUGCUUACUCUCAGGAGUUUCUAGUUGCUUCCAAGGAUUGUUCUAAAAGUUGGUUUUUAGUUGUUGGCUCUAAUUGUUAUCCAGUAAUCAGAGUUCUAGUUUGUAUGUUGGUCAAAUAAUGCAGGAGAACAAUGUUUAACAAGGGGCAAACAUUCAAUACAUGGUUGACAGUGUUAGAAGCUAUUGUCUGGACAUAGUGCUAAGAUGAAGGUAUUUUGUUAGACCCUAAAGAUGUAAAUAAAGCACUUUGGUAGCAUAAAUAAAUGCUAGCUUUUUAUUUCUUUCAUUUAUUUUGAUUAUUUCAUGCAUGAAUACAAUGUUUUUAGAUAAUUCCCCCAUCUCUCCCUUGACAAGAAAUACAUUUACAUACAGCUACUUUGCUCUUUCUUUUACUUCUUCAGUAUCUAUUUGAAUCUAAAGAUUAGAGUCUGAGGAUAUCUAAGCUACCUAUGCAGUGGUGCUUUCCACAUGAGAUAUAAAAUCAGUUUAAAGGAUGUGCAAUAUUCCAAGCCAAUUUUCAUCAGGAUCACUCUUGCAAAACCAUUUGUGCUUACCAGUCAAAAGUUCCCGAUUUUCUGAGAUUCAGAAAAACAACAAUAUUUACAAUUAUUAUCUUAGCAAAAAAGACUCCAUUAUUUCAGUGGCUUAUGUAAUGUGUAAGAAAAAGAAUG
rnacentral:lncRNA from 1 species